UUGGGGGGACAUGAAAGGAGAGAGAAGCCCCAACAGAGAGGUGUUAAUGAAGGAGAACUAUCAGCUCCAGACCUACUGAAAGAUUUGAGGUGAAGCAAGUAUUGCUUCCCUCUCUUACAUCAUUCCACCUCAGCUCAUAAUCAGGAAAGAACAAGGAGCCAUCAUGAUCCAAAAGAGCUUCCUGUCCUCUUCUCCCCCAAAGGAAGAGACAAAAAAUAUCACUGAGGUGCUGAAAAGCAGGAGUUCAGAGUUGAAAAGGCUGCUGACAACCUCUUAUGGUGCUCUGUCUCAGAAGCUGUGAUUUCAAGAGGAAGCAAAGUGGGUCCUAAACACUACCGAUAGCUGAAAAUUAGGAGAUGAAGAACACUUCAGAACGUUUAAGUGCGCUGUGAAAAUGUCUUUAAAACUCCUGAAUAUGCACCAUUUGACCUACUGAGCCUAAUAAUUUGGUGGCAUAAACCCUUAAACAUGAAGUCAACACUUAGUUUAGAUAAAGUGUCAACAGAGUGUAGGCAACAAGCUGACACAAAUCUUAAAGAAUUUAGCUUUUAAAAAGCCUUAAUUCCUUCUUUAUGCCAAUUGUCUGCAAAAGAACCUUUCUGCAGCUUUGUAUGGCUCUUUAAGCUAUGUCAGCACGAGUGGUAGCUUAAAGGUACAGCAAUUAAAUUAUGAGCAAACAUAUGUAAAAAAACAGUGUAAGAACAUUUCCAAAAACGGACUUUACAGGAAAUCAAUACAUUUUCACUGAGGUAGAUUGCCCAGCAUCAUCAGUGAAUGAAUUUUACUAAACCAGCUGUAGCAAGAGCACCACCAAGGAAAGCAAUUGUAUUCAUUAGGAACCCACAGGACCAUCUCAAAUGACACAGCUUUUCACAAGCAGCUACGCAACUCCAGGGAGUCCCAUUUGAAUCUCAGCUCCAUCAUGCUGCAGUUCCAUCUUUGUAUACUCAAAAUAAUAAUAAAAAAAGCUAAUUCUUGGAAAUUAUGGGGAUUUUUGUUUUACCCAGCAAUGAGUAACACUAUCAUAACCUGAGGGGAAAAUACCGGUGAAUCAACAUUUUCUUAAUUAACUUUAUUCUAGUCCUGGUCUUACACUGAUCCUUGAGGAAGAGCAAUCUUUUUUCAGUGGCUUCAGCAGCAUCAGAACAGGAGCACCUAUUGCUGUAUUUAAUGAGGUUGAGAUAUACUUAUUGCAAUUUUUUGAGUAAAGAGUUGAGG